CAAGCGUUGUCCGGAAUAUUGGGCGUAAAGCGCGCGCAGGCGGUCAUUUAAGUCUGGUGUUUAAUCCCGGGGCUCAACCCCGGAUCGCACUGGAAACUGGGUGACUUGAGUGCAGAAGAGGAGAGUGGAAUUCCACGUGUAGCGGUGAAAUGCGUAGAUAUGUGGAGGAACACCAGUGGCGAAGGCGACUCUCUGGGCUGUAACUGACGCUGAGGCGCGAAAGCGUGGGGAGCAAACAGGAUUAGAUACCCUGGUAGUCCACGCCGUAAACGAUGAGUGCUAGGUGUUAGGGGUUUCGAUACCCUUGGUGCCGAAGUNAACACAUUAAGCACUCCGCCUGGGGAGUACGGUCGCAAGACUGAAACUCAAAAGAAUUGACGGGGAACCGCACAAGCAGUGGAGUAUGUGGUUAUUUCGAAGCAACGCGAAGAACCUUACAAGGUCUUGACAUCCCUAGAUCGAUGCAGAGAAUUUUUUCCUCGGAACAAGAAACGGGUGCUGGUUGUGUCCCCCGGUCGGAAAUGUUGGGUUAAGUCCCGCAACGAGCGCAACC
rnacentral:rRNA from 1 species